UGGGGAAUUUUGGACAAUGGGCGAAAGCCUGAUCCAGCAAUGCCGCGUGUGUGAAGAAGGCCUUCGGGUUGUAAAGCACUUUUGUCCGGAAAGAAAUCCUUGGCUCUAAUACAGUCGGGGGAUGACGGUACCGGAAGAAUAAGCACCGGCUAACUACGUGCCAGCAGCCGCGGUAAUACGUAGGGUGCAAGCGUUAAUCGGAAUUACUGGGCGUAAAGCGUGCGCAGGCGGUUUGCUAAGACCGAUGUGAAAUCUCCGGGCUCAACCUGGGAACUGCAUUGGUGACUGGCAGGCUAGAGUAUGGCAGAGGGGGGUAGAAUUCCACGUGUAGCAGUGAAAUGCGUAGAGAUGUGGAGGAAUACCGAUGGCGAAGGCAGCCCCCUGGGCCAAUACUGACGCUCAUGCACGAAAGCGUGGGGAGCAAACAGGAUUAGAUACCCUGGUAGUCCACGCCCUAAACGAUGUCAACUAGUUGUUGGGGAUUCAUUUCCUUAGUAACGUAGCUAACGCGUGAAGUUGACCGCCUGGGGAGUACGGUCGCAAGAUUAAAACUCAAAGGAAUUGACGGGGU
rnacentral:rRNA from 1 species